CCAAGUGAGCUACUCCGAGGCAGCCCGUGAGAGGGGCGCACCCGUCUCUGUUGCAAAAGAGUGGGGAGACCUCCGAGUAGGGGUGACAGACCUACCGAACUUGGUCAUAGCUGGUUGUCUACAAAGUGAAUAGAAGUUCAGCCUCAUACAUUUUUUUGCCCAAGUAAACUAUUUAUAUUGGCUAAAAAAAGGCCUGGGAGUUAGUUGAAGGAGGUACAGCUCCUUUAAUAAGGAUACAACUAGAAAAGAAGGGUAAAGAUCAAACGAACAUAAGGAUUAGUACUACGGUGGGCCUGAAAGCAGCCACCCGAGAAGAAAGCGUUAAAGCUCAAGUACACGACCUCCAAUUAUUACGACAAGCACAUCUCACCCCCCUACUAAUAGUAGACCCUUGUAUAAUGAAUAUACAAACGAUUAUGCUAAAAUGAGUAAUAAGAAAGUCAAAGGCUUUCUCCUAGCACAUGUGUAAAGCGGAACAAACUAAUCGCCGCUAACUAAUGCCCCCACUGAAAGAGGGAAUUAAGAUAAAAGUUAGACACCCGGAAGACUACUUAAUGAGAAGCAUUAAACCUACACUGGAGUGCACACUAGGAAAGACUAAAAGGGAGGAAAGGAACUCGGCAAACAGAAGCCUCGCCUGUUUACCAAAAACAUCGCCUCUUGCUUACUAAGGAUAAGAGGUCACGCCUGCCCUGUGACGACAAGUUUAACGGCCGCGGUAUUUUGACCGUGCGAAGGUAGCGCAAUCACUUGUCUCUUAAAUGGAGACCUGUAUGAAUGGCACGACGAGGGCUUGACUGUCUCUCCGCCCCUGUCAAUGAAAUUGAUCUCCCCGUGCAGAAGCGGGGAUAAGAGCAUAAGACGAGAAGACCCUAUGGAGCUUGAAACACAAAACGAACCAUAUCAAGCACCCUAGAUGAAAAGGCUAAAAUAAUGAGUUUCGAACUGUUGUUUUUGGUUGGGGCGACCGAGGGGAACAAAAAAACCCCCAUGAGGAAUGAGGUACCACCUUAUACCCAAGAGCCACUGCUCUAAGAAUCAGAACUUCUGACCUUUUGAUCCGGCAAAGCCGAUCGACGGACCAAGUUACCCUAGGGAUAACAGCGCAAUCCCCUUUUAGAGCCCAUAUCGACCAGGGGGUUUACGACCUCGAUGUUGGAUCAGGACAUCCUAAUGGUGCAGCCGCUAUU
rnacentral:rRNA from 1 species